rnacentral:rRNA from 1 species
UGUGUUACACUCAUUUGCUGCGUGGUUUCCACCACCGGCAACCCAUUUACCGAUCCCUACCACAUGUGUAACAUACACUUAUUGUAUUAUCUGAUUUGCCACGUUAUAGGUAAUAGCCUACCAAGGCAAUGAUUAGUAGUUGGUUCAAGAGGAUGAUAAGUCACAUUGGGAUUGAGAAACCGCCCAGACUCCUGUGGGAGGCAACGGUGGAGAAUAUUCGUAAUGAAGGAAAGCCUGACGAAGCAA